GUUGUAUGUUCUUUUCUAUAUUCAGCAGUUAUGAAACUUAUAUGAAUAUUUUUCUUCUGUUCUAAGUCUUAAUUCUUGUUUUUUUGUAUUAUAGAGCUAUCGUCUGGUAUAUGCGCUUUUAAAUGGAAAGUCUGAAGGAAUAUAUACUGUAUUAUUUUCACGUAUCAAAGAUAUGAUACCCCUGCAAUACCAAAAUCUUAUGAUUGCAGAUUAUGAAAUUGGGCAAAUCAAUGCAAUACAUACUGUAUUUACUGAAAUAACUCAUCAGGGCUGCUAUUUUCAUUAUUGUCAGGCGAUUCUGGGGUAUGCCAGAAACAAGUCGAUUGGUGUUUACAAUUUAGUAAAAAUAAACCCUGCUGCUGCUCGUGUUUUCCGGAUGAUACUUGCACUACCAUACCUUCCGUCUGAAAGAAUUGGCAGAGUUCCUUCGGUGGUUGAUGGUGUUAAUGCCAUAAUUGUAUUCAUAGUGUAGUAUGAAUAUGUUGCUUUGGUGUACCACCGAUUUAUUUAUGAAUACAUUAUUCCUUUUUGGAUUCAUUCCAUAACUCCUGAAAGAUUUACAGUAUAUAAUUGCGAUAUUAGGACAAAUAAUUAUUUAGAAAGUUACCAUGCAUUACUCUUAAAAAUCAUAAGGCCUCAUCCAAAAAGAUGGGAAUUUAUUGAAACACCUAGGACAAGUUUCAUUGUUCAUCAAAUGGACUAUGUAUCGAAUUGUUGCGGGUUUGUGAUGGUCAUAAGGAUUGUUCAGAUGGUUCAGAAGAGACAAAAGUGUUAUGUGCUCUAUUGCCUCUAUACGAUUAUGGAACAAAUAAGACCAUAGGUUGUGGUAGAG